GCCGGGCGUGGAGGCGGGCGCCUGUAGUCCCAGCUACUCGGGAGGCUGAGGCAGGAGAAUGGCGUGAACCCGGGAGGCGGAGCUUGCAGUGAGCCGAGAUGUCGCCACCACACUCCAGCCUGGGCGACAGAGUGAGACUCCGUCUCAAAAAAAAAAAAAAAAAAAUGGCCAGGAAGGAAUCCCUGAUUAACCAAGCUGACUAACCAUGGGAGAAUACUUGCAAGCAAUUGCUGCCCUCAUCUAAUUAUUAUUAUUAUUUUUUUUUUUUGAGGCGGAGUCUUGCUCUGUCGCCCAGGCUGGAGUGCGGUGGCGCCAUCUCGGCUCACUGCAAGCUCCGCC
rnacentral:SRP_RNA from 10 species